rnacentral:rRNA from 1 species
UAAAGUGAAGAGUUUGAUACUGGCUCAGAUUGAACGCUGGCGGAAUGCUUAACACAUGCAAGUCGGGCGGUAACACUU